GCUGAGGAUGUGGCUCAGUGGUACACUGCUUGCCUAGCUUGCAUGAGGUCCUGGGUUUAAUUCCAAGUACAGCA
rnacentral:tRNA from 1 species